rnacentral:rRNA from 1 species
GACGAACGCUGGCGGCGUGCUUAACACAUGCAAGUCGAACGGAAAGGCCCUGGUUUUGUGGGGUGCUCGAGUGGCGAACGGGUGAGUAACACGUGAGUAACCUGCCCUUGACUUUGGGAUAACUUCAGGAAACUGGGGCUAAUACCGGAUAGGAGCUCCUGCUGCUUGGUGGGGGUUGGAAAGUUUCGGCGGUUGGGGAUGGACUCGCGGCUUAUCAGCUUGUUGGCGGGGUAGUGGCUUACCAAGGCUUUGACGGGUAGCCGGCCUGAGAGGGUGACCGGCCACAGUGGGACUGAGCUACGGCCCAGAGUCCUGCGGGAGGCAGCAGUGGGGAAGUUUGCAUGAUGGGGGGAAGCCUGAUGCAGCAACGCCGCGUGCGGGAUGACGGCCUUCUGUUUGUAAACCGCUUUCGCCUGUGACGAAGCGUGAGUGACGGUAAUGGGUAAAGAAGCACCGGCUAACUACGUG